rnacentral:rRNA from 1 species
GACGAACGCUGGCGGCGUGCUUAACACAUGCAAGUCGAACGGAAAGGCCCUGCUUUUGUGGGGUGCUCGAGUGGCGAACGGGUGAGUAACACGUGAGUAACCUGCCCUUGACUUUGGGAUAACUUCAGGAAACUGGGGCUAAUACCGGAUAGGAGCUCCUGCUGCGUGGUGGGGGUUGGAAAGUUUCGGCGGUUGGGGAUGGACUCGGGGCUGAUCAGCUUGUUGGUGGGGUAGUGGCUUACCAAGGCUUAGACGGGUAGCCGGCCUGAGAGGGUGACCGGCGACAUUGGGCCUGCGAUACGGCCCAGUCUCCUACGGGGGGCAGUAGUGGGGAAUAUUGCACAAUGGGCGGACGCCUGAGGCAGCAGCGCCGCGUUCGGGAUGUCGGCCUUCGGGUUGUAAACCGCUUUCGCCUGUGACGAAGCGUUAGUGACGGUACUGGGUAAAGAAGCACCGGCUAACUACGUG